CAGGAAGAAAAGGGGGAAGUGAUUCGCGGUAAUUCCUACCUGAUCCGAGGUCACAUUCGGAAGUUGGGGGUUUAACGGCUUGGCCGCGCCGCGUUCCAGUUGCGAGGUGUUAGCUACUACGCAAUGGAGGCUGCAGCGAGACCGCCACUAGAUUUCGGGGCCGGGCUGGAGUACAGCCCGAUCCCCAACACCAAACCCGGGGGCUUGAGGGUUGAAAUGACGCUCGAACAGGCAUGCCCGCCAGAAUACUGGCGGGCGCAAUGUGCGUUCAAAGAUUCGAUGAUUCACUGAAUUCUGCAAUUCACAUUACUUAUCGCAUGUUGCUGCGUUCUUCAUCGAUGCCAGAACCAAGAGAUCCGUUGUUGAAAGUUUUGAUUUAUUUGUUUUUUAGACUCAGAAGUUACACUAAAAUCAGAGUUUUGUGGUUCCUGCGGCGGGCCGUCCGGGUUUACGGGGCGCGGGCUGAUCGCCCGAGGCAACAUAAACGUAUGUUCCAGGGGUUUGGAAGAGGUAAACUCGUAAAGGGCACUCCCUGGUUAACCAACGGAAAGACGACAACCCG
rnacentral:misc_RNA from 1 species